AGUGGCCGCUGCUGACCCCGGUUCAGGUUGUGGCCCUGCAGCUCACCAGGGCAACUCGAGACUGCCGACCUCCACAGCCCCAGCGUCCUUAUCUGCAAUAUGGGGCUAAGACGAUUUACCUUAUCAGGCACAUGGUAAACGUUUCAUACGUUAUAGCUGUUUAUUGCCAUCAUCUCCAUUUUAUAGAUGAAUAAACUGAAGCUGGGUUGUAAGUAGCUGUAGAUAUUUACACUCAGGUCUGCUGGGCAGUCCAGGCUCUUUCCUUCACCACACCACCUCCAGGCAGCCAGCCCUUGGCUAGGGGAGUGUGUGCCAUGGGGGGCUCUGGCAGAGGCUGUGGAUCCCCCCUGGGGGCUGGGGGGUGGGGAGAGCACCUGUGGCCAUUAGGAACAGCUUUUACGAGCCUGUUCCACCAACUGGCUCCCUCCCCCAGGUCUGCAGCACAUUGAAGCUCUUCCUGUUUGCUCCCAAGCAGAUGGUGCUGGAAUCUCUCUACACCGACUCCCAUUCAUAAAUCACAGUGGUUCCCCUGGUGCCAGAGCGACCAUUCUAAUUACAGUGGGGGAGGUGUGUGUGCAAGUGUGUGUGAGUGAGCGUGAGUGUGUGUGAAGAGACAUAGAGACUGCUGGCCAGGAGAUGCCACCUCUUUCCACUGGGGACACAGCCUCUCCCCUCACCAGCCCUCACAGCCCACCCUGUUUUACUGAGGGAGCCCGGGGGCUCUAGGCCUGAGGAGGGAGGCCCUGGUGGGAGUGUUUCCUGUGUCAGGUGGCAACCCCCCAGAAGGGACCCCGGGACCAGGCAGCCCUUCUCAACCCCACGCUUUCUGGCCUCGGGUGCUCGGCAUUGUGGUGGGGGAGGCGAGAGACUCCUGGAAAUGUGAUUCUGCCUAGGACCCUUCUCCAGGGGUCACCCAUUGACCUACACCUGUGUGACAUGCGUGUGUGGGAGCUUGCGGUGGUCAUGUGACAUCAGGAGAACCCAGGGGAGGAGGCACAGGAAGCAGUGGGUGCUGCGGCACAAUAUGAACAUUCAGUGCCAGACAAGAAACAAAAGGCCCAGCCACCCAGGGGUCAGAGUUCCAUGUGUGACCAGUUGUCACAGGUGCCUCUUGCAAGAGCCGGGCAAAGCCCUCAGGGAGUUGAGCAGAGGCCCAGACUGAUGAUGAUAUUUUAAUAAUGAAUCAUUAUUAAUCAUUCUAAUUACUAAACAAAAUAUAUUCGUAUUUGGUUAACUAUUAAAAUACUAAUGUUGGCACUUCAGAAUUAAUGGCUCAGAAUGAUUAUGAUGGUCGUUGUAAUAACACUAUGCUGAAGGGAUUUUUUUGCCAAUAGGUAAAUCAGAAAGCAAAUGAGGUAUACAACUGUGAUUUCAGGACUGAUAUGUGAUGACAACAAAA
rnacentral:lncRNA from 1 species